rnacentral:lncRNA from 1 species
GAGCAAUGAAUUCACCCAGGAUCCAUGGAAGGCUUGAGCAAAUGCUUACUUAGCAAAGUGCUAGGCACAGAGCUAAGCAAGGCAAACCAUCGAAAAGGAGAGCCGAGGGAGCUUCCCUAAGGCACGACUGACAAGUAUCCUGGAGAAACCUGAUCUUACACAGAGCACGUGGUGGCUGCUAGAGGACCAGCAGGGUCAGGAAGACAGUCACGGGGAAGAUAACAGGAAAUGAGUAAGAACCUGUGAAAGCCCUUUGACCUGAGGAGUUGCAGGAGGCUGAGAAUACCUGCUGGGAUGCUAAAGUUUAAAAAGGGUUGCUUAUGUGACUGUAACUGUGGAGUUAUGCACUGGACCUGGCUGGCUUCCCUAGUGGGUACAUAUCUGAAGAUAAUGAUAUCCGGUCUUCCAGAGUCUACCAAUAGCCAAUAGUUCCCCAGGGUCCUGUAAGUACUGACAAGGGGUGUGAUUUUGCCAGCUGAAGGCAGUUUACAUUCGGAGUUCCGCGGACUCUUCAGAGGCUGUAAAAAUGCCGGAGUCACGAAAGCCUGCAAAGAGCUGUUGCUUGCCUUGCUGCUGCUGCUGCUACUGCCGUCCCUGCCCGUGCUGCAGCUGCUACUCCUGCUGCUGCUGCUGCUGCUUGUUGCUGAUUGUUGCGGUUGCUGGUUGCUGUUUACUGUUUGCUGCCGGCUGGAUUGCUGGAUUGCUGAUUGCCAGUCGGCGAAAUCCUGGCGAUGAAGAUCCAACUUGCCCCAAGAAACAAGACGACCCUAAGAAGUAGUCUAAUGAUUUCAAUACGCCCUUUCCCCCUCUGACCUUUCUCUCUUACCUUAUGCUGGGGGAUUGGAAGGGUGGCAGAAAAAAGAACCCAAUAAAGUAGCCAAAAGUAAAGUUACUUUGUGGCUUAUUAUUCUUGUUCUUUCAGUGUCUUUCUAAAAAUAAUCUAUACAUUUUAUUUGUUCCCUUCACUCUUUCCUUCUUUUAGACCUAAUACUUGGGUGUUAAGCAAAGAAUAGUGAGGGUUUUUUUUUCUAGAUUGUUUUUAUUCUGAUAUGAAAGAUGCUAUGUAUAAUUAAAAGCAAACUUUAUUGAGAGUAGGGACUCAAAUUACCCAGAGAAAGGAGUUUCUCCAUUAGCACAGAAUAAACUUCUUUCAUCUAUGGUUUGUGGGUCAUGC